rnacentral:rRNA from 1 species
GGGCGUAAGGGCUCGCAGGCGGUUUCUUAAGUCUGAUGUGAAAGCCCCCGCGCUCAACCGGGGAGGGUCAUUGGAAACUGGGAAACUUGAGUGCACAAGAGGAGAGUGGAAUUCCACGUGUAGCGGUGAAAUGCGUAGAGAUGUGGAGGAACACCAGUGGCGAAGGCGACUCUCUGGUCUGUAACUGACGCUGAGGAGCGAAAGCGUGGGGAGCGAACAGGAUUAGAUACCCUGGUAGUCCACGCCGUAAACGAUGAGUGCUAAGUGUUAGGGGGUUUCCGCCCCUUAGUGCUGCAGCUAACGCAUUAAGCACUCCGCCUGGGGAGUACGGUCGCAAGACUGAAACUCAAAGGAAUUGACGGGGGCCCGCACAAGCGGUGGAGCAUGUGGUUUAAUUCGAAGCAACGCGAAGAACCUUACCAGGUCUUGACAUCCUCUGACAACCCUAGAGAUAGGGCUUUCCCUUCGGGGACAGAGUGACAGGUGGUGCAUGGUUGUCGUCAGCUCGUGUCGUGAGAUGUUGGGUUAAGUCCCGCAACGAGCGCAACCCUUGAUCUUAGUUGCCAGCAUUUAGUUGGGCACUCUAAGGUGACUGCCGGUGACAAACCGGAGGAAGGUGGGGAUGACGUCAAAUCAUCAUGCCCCUUAUGACCUGGGCUACACACGUGCUACAAUGGACAGAACAAAGGGCUGCAAGACCGCAAGGUUUAGCCAAUCCCAUAAAUCUGUUCUCAGUUCGGAUCGC